UGGGGAAUCUUGCACAAUGGGGGCAACCCUGAUGCAGCGACGCCGCGUGAGCGAUGAAGCCCUUCGGGGCGUAAAGCUCUUUCGACCGGAACGAUAAUGACGGUACCGGGAGAAGAAGCUGCGGCUAACUACGUGCCAGCAGCCGCGGUAAUACGUAGGCAGCAAGCGUUGUUCGGAGUUACUGGGCGUAAAGAGUGCGUAGGCGGUUUUCUAAGUUCGGUGUGAAAUCUCCCGGCUUAACUGGGAGGGUGCGCCGAAGACUGGGAAGCUGGAGUGUGGGAAAGGCAGGCGGAAUUCCUGGUGUAGCGGUGAAAUGCGUAGAUAUCGGGAGGAACACCGGCGGUGUAGACGGCUUGCUAGACCAUAACUGACGCCGAGGCACGAAAGCGUGGGUAGCAAACA
rnacentral:rRNA from 1 species